rnacentral:lncRNA from 1 species
UGACACACCAAAGCCUAUGUGGCUGGGUCAUUUUUAUCUUCCCACAGAUCACCUAAGUUAUGACUGAUAUCCUGCAAGCCACAUGCUUUGAUUUCAUCAAGCAGUGUUUAGAGUCAGCUGAAUUAGGCCAGAGUGUGAAGCCUCUGUUGAUACCAUAAAGACAAGAAUUGGCUGGGAAACGAGAAACAGCCCAUGUGAACUUGCAGCUACUGGAAACACAGUUGAUUAUUACAAGGAGAGGAGUAGCUAAUUCUGUAAAUAACAUGGUAUGAUAGUUUGGAUUUGAUCUGUCUUUAGUCACUCAUGUUAGUUUGAAGUAGUGAGGAUAAAGGCUAAAUCCAUAGACUCAUUGGCACUAACCCUCGUACAUUAUUGGUGUACGUUCCCUGGAGAAGAUGAACUCUGAUACAAUUCAUGGUCUUGAUUUUCAAGUGGGAAGAGUCUAAUGGGAGUCUGGCUAUCAGAUCCUACCAGCCCUGUGCCAAACGGGCUCCUGUUUUUCUGAAGCACGCAACAGCUGGAAUGAACUUGGAAAGGAUGUUUGGCUUCCAAAGCCUGGGAUGCCUUGCCUCUGCUACUGUACGGUGGAAGCACCUGCAUUUUGGAUUAUGGCCUUUCUUCAGGUGAAUUUUGUUUUUACAUGGACUGUGCAUGUUUUACAUGUUACCACCUACAUUUUGAAGUAGUAGAAGCACUGCAGCAGCAAUCUAAACCCUGUCCUUCUAAAUGGCUCGGCUGCAUUAGGACCUGCAGGGCAUCUAGACCCACCGUCCCCUUCUUUGCAGACUGGCUUUGCUAAAAGCUGUGACCCAAUUGCUAAACACUAUCUGAAUUUUGAGAGGAUUGAAGCAGAUUUGUGGCUGUGCAUUGUCACCAUGCAAAGCUCUGUGUCUUUGUGUGAACAUGAUAAGCAUGUUUUGAACAGAGUAGGUCUUUUCCCCAUUCCUUCUUUUUUAUUGUUAUUAUUUUUUUUUUCUAUUUUUCUCUUUAACUUCCUUUGGAAAAGGAGUUAAGAAAUCUGACAAAAAUCCUUCAUUUUUAAAAACUUGUUUCCACGUGGACACUUCUGAAAACUGGUGAGAAAACUGGAGCAGAAAGAAGGGAGAAAAAACCUCUUGACCACUGUUUUACUACUUCCUGCCUGAAAAAAAUGUAGAAAGUAUUUGGAAAAUGUGAAAAUGCUAUGUUUAUCUCAGUAUUUCUCACAGUAGACAUUUUUUCCUGUCCAUAAAGAUUAAUAGGAAGAUGCUUUCUUAGAGUUUUGAUAAGAGAUACUUAUAUUUUAACCAUACCUGCUUUGUUAUGAAUAAUUUCCUGUGUGGUUUCAGGAUUUUCAGGUGUCAAAAUUUUGAAAGGACACUCAUGCGAGCCUCCUUAGAAAUUGUGUUGUGCUUCAACAAGCUCUUGUAACGAGUCUGAGUCUGCAUUACCCACAGAAGUCAGAUGUGUCUGGAUCUGGAUUUCAAACAUUCCAGAAUCAAAGUCAGUCUUAGGCCUUUUGGUUCGGCUCUAGCACUGGUAUUUAGAUCCCUUGGUUAGGACUUCAACACCCGCUGUUUCAGGCUAUUCAAUUUGUGUUUUCCUCUUUUUGUGCUGAGUACAUCUUGGAGUGUUGUGUAAGUUACUU